rnacentral:tRNA from 1 species
GGAUUGUAGCUCAGUGGAGAGCACUUGCCUAGCAUGUGUGAGGCACUGGGUUCAAUUCUCAGCACCA